UCGCGCUAUUAAUUUAAUUAUUCUGUUUAUGAUUUUAUGCGAUACAAAAUGUGGCCGCUGCGAAAAUAGAAACCAGUUCACGGACAGCUGAGGCAACAUCAGUUGUUGUUCCCUGCAGCUGGCUAAAUUCUGGAUGUGUCUAUAGCUGCGUUGGCCACAAAUAUAGCCACGUUGGUGCAACAUCGAAUGGUGGGCCACAUCACACGCGCCCUCCUACGCCUGCUGAACACAUGGGCUCUCCUCUCGUUUUUGGCCAUUUGCCAAAUCGAAAAAACUUUCGCUUAUUUGCAGAAUCGGUGACGGAAAAUUUGUAUACUAAUCCGCCCGCCACCCUCGCGGCAUCCAGAUGAGCCGGGGCCUCCCCAAUUGGCCAUGGCCGCCUUGGAGGCCAGUAUUCACAUUCAUGUGACUCUGGGGGCGCACCAAGAAUAGCAUAGCCCGGAUGGUUGUCAUGUGGCCACACUUGUUUGCUUGUGUCUGGGGAAGGAGAAAUGAAGGUGCUGCCGAUGGUGUGACUUUGUCCCCCGAAUCCAGUUUACCAGAAGCCCCAGAAUCCUCUGGGUACUCGAAGAAUAAGUUCAACAGAAGCAGUCAGAAAAGUUGCACUUGGGCCUGAUAAUCUUCAUCAUCGGCGUUAAUUGCUGGACCCAGACUUGGACUCGGACUCAGACUCUAACUGAUUCGCUCCUGUUCUCACCUAACCGCCAUUUGGCGCAUUUCGAUGAUUCGGGCUUAUUUGGAAUUUACGUCAAUAGACGAUCGAUUCGCUAAAUAUAUGCAUAAUCAAUAA